rnacentral:lncRNA from 1 species
ACUGAAGUAAAAUUUACUCUGAAGUCAUAACCAAAAACCUUCCUGCUUAGAGGAGCGGGAACUCUUGAUCAUUUUUGCUGAUGUUAUUUCUGCAGCUUAAUUCAGUUGGCUGGAUUGUGUGUCAGUAUAAUGUGAUUGGCAAAAUGGAUACCCUUGAAACACAAAGGGCAGCCAAUACGUGCAUUAGGGAAUAGCUGAGUAACAGGGACGUUAUCUUUUCCUUCUUGAGUGGCUGCUCUACUCUUUCAUUUUGUCAUGAUUCUUUAGGUAAAUGGCGAGCAUACAGUUUGUCAGAUGGGAACAUCUGUUUAGAUCAUAAAGUGAGCGAGUUUGUUUAUGUUCUAAAACAAAACUGGAGCUGCGAUGGCGUUGUAGAGCAAUGUGGUCAUGGGAAACAGCUGAGGUCAAACCAACAGGAUGAGCAGAAGAGGAGAGAACAAACUAUCAAGGGACAAAGUAUUGGUUCAGACCCAUCAGAAAGCAGGCAGCGCCUAAGUGGCGAAGUGUGUCUACAUUCCUCUGGAGUUAAACUGGUCACCAUGAAGCACCAAUCAAUCUCCUGCUGGUUGAGCCAACUGGGACUGCCACAGUACUGCAUGGUGUUAGAGCAGGAAUAUGAUGGUGUAGAGGACAUCCUGCAUCUGUCGGAGUAUGACCUCUUGGAGCUGGGGGUCCACAAUCACCUCCACCGCCUGCAUCUGCUCACUUCCCUGCGCCUCCUCCAAGAGCGAGAAAGGAGGAGAGAAUUUAUGACAUAAACAUCAUGUCAACCACUUUCCUGCGAGAACCACACCUCACAAUGAGCAGGCAACUGACCAAGCAGUUCUCUGUCAAAGAAGUAUUGCUCCAGUUUUUUGGAUAUCUUUAGACUGCCAAUGUCAACUUAACUGCUCUAGAGACGACAAAACAAGCCUGAGAUGCUGCAAAUGUGAUGCC